rnacentral:rRNA from 1 species
GAUUAUGGCUCAGGAUGAACGCUAGCGACAGGCUUAACACAUGCAAGUCGAGGGGCAGCAUAAAAGUAGCAAGUACUUUGGUGGCGACCGGCGCACGGGUGAGUAACGCGUAUGCAACCUACCUAUCAGGAGGGGAAUAACCCCGGCGAAAGUCGGACUAAUACCGCAUAAAACAGGGGCACCGCAGUGGUGAUAUUUGUUAAAGAAAUUCGCUGAUAGAUGGGCAUGCGUUCCAUUAGGUAGUUGGUGAGGUAACGGCUCACCAAGCCGACGAUGGGUAUCCGGCCUGAGAGGGUGUACGGACACAUUGGGACUGAGAUACGGCCCAAACUCCUACGGGAGGCAGCAGCUAAGAAUAUUCCGCAAUGGACGAAAGUCUGACGGAGCGACGCCGCGUGGAUGAAAAGAAGGCCGGAAGGUUGUAAAAUCCUUUUGCUGAUGAAGAAUAAGUGUGGUAGGGAAUGACCGCAUGAUGACAUUAGUCGGUGAAUAAGCCCCGGCUAACUACGUGCCAGCCGCCGC